CGGCGAACGGGUGAGUAACACGUGGUUAACCUGCCGAGAUGUGGGGGAUACCCCGGGGAAACCCGGGCUAAUACCGCAUGAUGUCUUCCGGGCGUCGGCCUGGAAGAGCAAAGCCGGGACCGCAAGGCCUGGCGCAUUUCGAGGGGACCGCGGCCGAUUAGCUAGUUGGCGGGGUAACGGCCCACCAAGGCGACGAUCGGUAGCCGGCCUGAGAGGGUGAUCGGCCACACCGGAACUGAGACACGGUCCGG
rnacentral:rRNA from 1 species